UGCCAGUUCUAAGAAAAAACAGCAGAAAAUUGUUGUUUUGAUUUGGGUCCCUGGUGGUCAAAGUUGGAAUCAAGGGCUGGGUAUUGGUCGCUUCGGGACUUUCACCAAAACGUCGUUUCUUAGAACUGGCAAGGUGGGGUCUCAGGUCAAGUUCCCGAAAUCUGGCAACUUUUCAGAAAGGUACACUGGGUAGUCACUUUUUCCUGUAGAGGCUUAUGGAGCGAUGUUCCUCCUUCUUCUCAUCCUUCGUGGCUUGGCGUUCAGGACUCUUUAACCGCAGAACGCACUACCGGUUUCAAACUAAGCAGCAGUUGAUUCAAUGAUUGCGUCUGCAAUCGUUCAACUUGUAUGCAGCCAGGCGAAAAGUGAAGAGGGCAAAACUGACAAUCAUGGUUUUGAAAAAGAACAUGAAGCAAUUUGAGGAAAAGUUUGUGGCACUAAAUCACUUUUAGCUUGAGAUAUUGAUAACAGUUAAAGUCUAGCCAACCGACGCGGUAAAUUGAAAUCUUCCAGCACCGAACAUGCAUUCACCCGCCAAAAGUGCGCCGACACCCAUGCAUAACACUACUGGCGCUCGUCUGUGUGACGUAAUUCUUUCCAAGUUUAAAGGAAAAACAAAACAUAAUUCGAAAAUGUAAUACUUAAUGGGAAAAGUUUGGGUGUAAAGAAUACAGCUUUUUCUAUUCAAUUAUUUCUUGUCUACUCUUCUGCCACGAUAUCAUGCGACCUACUUGUUCGCAACCUUUGAAUAAUGACUUUGAGUUGUUUCAUUUUUUAGGUCGGUGUUCUUUUCUGUCGUCUGCUUUCAAAUGUUCACUCAUUCUUGUGCAAACAGGCAAAGACGCGAUAGCCUACCAAAAGUCCCAUAAAAAAACAUUGGAAUACUACAAAAAUAAUUUGAUUUUUUGAACGAGUGAAUAACAAAAGUUAAGAGAUGCAACACUUCAAUUUCGAUGUCUCUGGUCGAGACUACAUCGUGGAUCAGCAUGAAAACACAUUUAGCACACGUUUUCAGUUGACUUGUUGAUUACGAAAUUUUACGUAACCCAAGUUGAAUGUGACAAUUGCCACUAUUCCCAUCACACUGUUGGUAGUCGACAAACUACUAACAAUGCGAGACUACCUGUCGCUCUCCAGCAAUCACGUAUGCCACCGUCGGCAAUUUGUAGAUAACCAGUCAGACUUGAAACUAACUUUAGGAGAGGCGUAGAAGCGUUCAAAUAACAAAAUAACUUGAAAGAUAAACUCAAGUUUCGACAGUGAUGGCUUCUGCAUAUUAUUUCUUUUGGCUUUUGUUUUGACGAGCGAGUGAAUGAAUGACGUCAAAUCUUUGAAUUUGUAAUUGCUGUAAAAAAAUGAAACGUCUAAAAGGUAUACAGACGCCGAAUGCGAAGAUGUGCAGACGACGGAUGGCCAAUCAAAAAACAUGUCUGAAAAUUUUUGAUUUCCUGUCGACGCAGAUUCCGUGUGUGUUUUUCAUCCGGAAGUCGCCGAAAGUAAAAGUGAUGUAACUUCCUCUCCGACUAGUAUAUUUUCUUCCCGUGCAGACUGACCAUAACCAUGAUGAUGUCUGAGCGUGAGCGACGCUCACACAUCUGUCCGACGUCGAGUAGCUUGCUGUCGUCGUUUCUCCAAUCGCACGAGUGCCGCUGUUCCAUGGCAAAAUAUACAUCUACUAAAUAGAUAUAGGGUGAGAAGUAGUAGGCUAUAGACUUACGCCAGAGAGAGUGCCCAGCUUAACUUUUUCGAUGCAAGCCCGACUUCUUCAUGUUUGUACACAGCUGGUAGAUCGGGUGAGAA
rnacentral:lncRNA from 1 species